AUAAUUAUAAAGAUGGUGGUUUGUGAUUGUUUUAAUCUCGUUUAGAAUUUCACAAAGUUAUUCUGUUUGGGGCAUUUGAAAUCCUUUUUAUACAGAGAGCUUCGACCUGUCCUAGCUUGCGAGUGUGACAUUUAGCCAUUUGAGUUGCCAUAGGUUUAUUUGCUAGUCAGGACUACCGUAUUGUAAGGUCCAUGGUUCUUGGAAGUGCCUUACAGCAUCACUUCAAUAGUACCUAAGGUACUGUUUUGGACUGAGGAAAGUGUAACCUGUUUGCAGAGCUGCUGCAGAACUGCCUUUUCCUAUCCUGGAACAGCCACUGUUGCUAGUGUAAGAUUUCCAAGGUCAAGCCUGUUGGUGGAAAUUAUUUCUCUUGAGACCAAAUAAGACAUCUCAAGCUUUUUAAGGUUUUAUUGUAGUUUCCAAGUGAGAUUAGUAAGCUGGUAUUGUUUCCUAACAUGUUUAUGGAUUUCAGAAGAGAACAGUAUACCUGUUUUUGUCUUGGAAAAUUCUUCCUCCUGAUGGGCUUUAUGCUUGAGUUUCUGGGACCACUUGGGAUUAUUCUCUCUUCUCCAUCUUAUUUCUUUCUAAGCAAUAUAUGGGGAAUUCCCAUUGUGGCUCAGCGGGUUAAGAACCUGACUAGUAUCCAUGAGGACAUGAGUUUGAUCCCUAGCCUCACUUGGUGCAUUAAGGACCCAGCAUCACUGCGAGCUAUGGCGUAGGUCACAGAUACAGUUUGGCAUUCUUUGGCCACCUCUAGCCUGCCACAGGAACAUCCCUAAAAAGACAAAAAACAAAAGACCCAAUAUCUAAUGGCAGUUGUUAAGUUAGCAUAAGUGUAAUUUUGAGGUACUUGCUACAAUGUAUAUGUUACUAAAAUAGUACUGACUUCUGUUGAUCACAAAGUUACAGUAUGUUAAUACUAUUACUGUUGUUGCCUAUAAUAAGAAUGGAAGAAAAUGCUAAUUUCCAACUAGCAGUUAGUAGAUUCAAGAUGUUCUUCCCCAUCUGAGGUCAUACCCUUGUUGAAUUCUGUCUGUGGACCUCAGGUUAAGUACCUCCCCCUUUCUACAGGGCCUCCUGCGGGUCUGACAGGUGCUUUUCCUGAGCCAGUAUUCCAGUGUGAGAUCAUUACCUGCUCUUUGUUCCUGAAGGGCUGACUUCUUACCCACUAGCAGAUGAGGCCGAUAAUGCUGCUAACGCUUCAGUCUCUUUAGCUUCUUCUGCCAGGAGAGACAUAUGUUUGGUCAUUAUUUUCCUUUCCCCAGUAAUUGGCUCUUUCUUCACUUGGGAGACCAGUACCAUUUUGUUAGCCAAACUGUUGAGAAAUUCUUGUUUCUUUGGAAUGGUAUAGGCCAAAGCAUAAAUCAGUUUGACAGAAAUAGCCACUCUUUUUGUUUCCAAUUUGCCCAAAUAAGUUAAUCUCAUUUAUAAAUGUUGACGACGACUCCUGUAUCCAAGUUGAGGCCAGGCUAGGAAUUCAUUUGUGAUAUAGGUUCGGUCACCUGAAAUAAACUGGACUAAGAGGAAAGACCAAACUGACUUGCAAAGAGUUUUAUUUAUUUUUUAACAUGUGACCUGAGCUUAUAUAAAACUUUUCCCAUUGAUCCUACAUUCUACUUCUCAAGAGAGCAGAUUAUCAGGAUAUAGCUUCAGUGCAACAAACUAUGGAUUUAUAUAGACAUUUCACUUCUGUGGGCACAUUAGAGAGAAUCAGCAGUAAGAAGAAAGCUGAUUUACUGAAGAGUUUUACUGGGAAGGAGAUUUAGAAGAGAAUAGACAAGAGAGCAAAGCUCUAGGGCCCCUAUCCAUAAUAUUCUCCCUAUUAAUUGGAUUUUUCUUGCAUCAAGCUGUAGUUGAUUUGAAGUAAAUAAUACAUAUUUGAGUCAUGCAAUAUUUUGGGCCUUUUGUUAACUAAGGGCUCGGAGCAUACACCUAGAGACCCUUAUCUCAGAUCUUCUUCAGAUGUGUCUGCUAUAUUAUAUCUAGAGCUACAGGUAAAGGAAAGAGAAGAUUUAGGCAGAAAAGUGGAGGGUAUUCUGGAAAGGUUGGAAAGCCUCUGGAAAACUAAAGAAAAAAAAAUAAGUUAACAAUCCCAGUUAAGAGUAUUUUUCAAAUUGUAUAGAAGAGAAACGUUGUGUAUCAGUGAAACAAAGGGUUUCAUUUGAUUUAGGAUGCAUGAAAAAUGUGAGUUGUUCUCGGAUGAGAAAACUGGCAGUAGUUGCAAGUAUUCUAUUCAGUAGGCUACUGUAGCAAGCCCUAUAAGACAAUCAUUGGAGUUCUCAAAUGAAAUACAGCCUUGUUAACAAGAAUCAAAAUUCUUUCCUGGUUUGAGCCAAAAAUAGUGGGGGUACAUAUUUGCUGUUCAUUUUUUACUCCCCCCUCCCCUUUUUUCUUUUCAUGGUCAGUCAUCCUUGAACAUACUAGUCAUUCUCAAACUGUUCUUGCAUCAGAAUCACCUAGAGGGCUUGAUAAAACACCGACGACUCUGUGUGUGUGUGUGUGUGUGUGUGUGUGUGUGUGUGUGUGUUCUCCCCUGCCAUUGCCGCUCCCCUCCCCAGAGAUUUCUGAUUCAAUAUUGGGUCAGGAUGGGACCCCUAAAUUUGCCUUUCUAACAAGUUAGGUACCACACUUUGAGAACCUCAGAACUGCAUCAUCAGUGUAAUUGUUCCCUAGCCCAAGUGAUGACUUACCAGAUGCUCUUUUGCUUAAUGUGUCUGUAUGGCCCAAUAGAGCACCUCAUCUUAUUAAAAACAAAAGAAGUUAAAAGAAGCUAUUUAAUAGGCAUAAAAAGAAAGCUGAGUCUUGAUCUCAGGAGCCUUUAGAUUGGAGAAAGACCCAUUAUGAAAUGUUUCAUUGUAGUCUUAGCAAAUAUGAUGUUUAAGGAGAUACUGUAUUGUUAAUUCUGAUUAUUACACAUACACUUUAAAUGUUUUAUUCGUUACUGUGAUUUUGAGUUUGGCUUUAGUGAUGCCCUCGUUGGGGUUGUAAAAUCUUCAGCUAUACAUUUUUUUUUUUUUUCUGAUGAGUAAUUAUUAUUUUCAGAUUGUUGUCACCAUCACUUGGUUAAUGCAAAUCUUAAUAGGGUCUCACAUUCUCUACUUUGGUCAUUUUAUUUAUUGGUUCAUUCAAAUUCUGGGGGACCAUUUAAUAUUUUAAAUGAGUGAGGACCCUUACAAAUUGAAAGGCCAUAUAGGUGCUCUUUGUACUAUUUAGUUUUCUGUAAACCUAAAACUAUCCUGAAAAAUAAAGUUGGUUAAUUUUUUAAAAAGUGCUCAGAACCAAGCAAAAAAGAAGGGAUUAGAAAUAUACAUGAGUUUGACAGCUGUUGGAGAAGAAAGACCCUGGACGUGCAAGGUAGGAUUUUC
rnacentral:lncRNA from 1 species